UUUUGCUUUCUCUUUCAGCAGCUGUGGAGAGAAGGUCAGGCCGCUUCCUUCAGAGAGUCACAGGCAGUUUUCCCACCUAUAUAUUGUUCACCCCUACAUAUUCCUAUGGCUGGACAGGAAUAUUUGGGUAAUUUUUCAUUGGCUUCCUGUCGAACUGUGUUUCUCGUCGACUUCUCCAGUGUUGGUGUAACCUCUGAGCUCUAGCUCCUCAUGCCACCCAGCCUUCUGCCCCUCUGCCACCAGGCUCUACUCCACCUUGGACCCUCCAUGUCUUGCUCACCAGUGUCUCCACCUAAGCCACUGCUGACGCCUCUGUGAGCCCCGGUACUGCACCAGCUGAACCACAGCCCGAGCCCUCACCAGCUGCCUCUCCCAACCACUGGAGCUUGUGAAAUAAAUUCCUUUAAAACCAUC